rnacentral:rRNA from 1 species
UGGUGGAGUGAUUUGUCUGGUUAAUUCCGUUAACGAACGAGACCUUAACCGGCUAAAUAGUCACACGAUUCUUGAAUCGUGACUGACUUCUUAGAGGGACUGUUGGUGUUUAACCAAAGUCAGGAAGGCAAUAACA